ensembl:lncRNA
AGGCUAUUCAAGAUGGAGAAGACUUCACAGAAAAACAGAAUGUUCUUCAUUUUAAGAAAAAGAGAUUUUGUUUCUCAUAAGUGGCCCCUGGCACUGUUUCCAAUGCCAGGGGUUUGGAUUCAGUUGAAACUUCGCACUUCAUAAAGAAAUGCUUUCAGCAACUCAGACAGAAUAAUUCAGAGGGGAGGUUUAGCCCUCCCCUUCCUUCUUCUGUUUCCCAUGCCCCUUGUUCUUAGUUCCUUUUCUCUCCUCAUUUGCCCCUGUGUUGAAAAGAACCUUGUAGCUUUUAAAAGUGCUUCCUGCAGGGCCUUAUUUUCAGAAUUUUCACUGGAGAUGUUUGGUGUGUUUUAGGUGAGGCCACGCUGUCUCCCCUUGGCUCCUGGCCGCUCUCAUUUUCUCCCUUGAUUUACUUCGUUCUUCUCCCUCCUCUCAAACCCUCUGUCCUUUCACCUCCUGUUUCUCUCUUUCCAUUAAACUUCCUCUCCUCUCAACCUCCCACCUCCCCCUCCACCAGCAGUCCUUCUCCCCACACACACCACAGGAGAGAGGAGAGUGGUGGGAGGUUUAAGUUCAUUACCCACAGAGUAGCUUUUCUUAUCAAUGCAUAUUCCUUUGUUUCAAUGAAAGAAGAAAAGGAAAAACUAAAACCCACCACUUUGUAGUUAGCCCAGUUUUCCUGUCUCCCCUAGUAUGCCUUAGAAGUCUGACUCAGAUAUUUAUCACCCUGAUUGUAAAAUAUAGCAAACCCAGAAAGUGAAUGCUUUUCAGAGAGUAGCUCUUUUUGAAAAACAAAUUUCUCUAUUUUUUUAAAUUGGCAUAUAAUCAGAGAGUAGCUCUUAAUAUACAACUUUUCACAUUUGUGUGCCCUUGUCCCAUAGGGGCAGUAGGCAUAUCAUGCCCAGGCUUUCAGGUAAGGAGUGAGCACAGAUUAAAGGGGCUUCCACUUUGUUUUUAUAAAAUUGUGUUUUCUACAUGAGUCUCUCCCAUAAAAGCGUUUAGACAUAAGUGAAAAUCUGGGCAGUCUUUGUGAAAGUAAUUUUAGGCCUGAUGUUUUGGGGGGGAAGUUACAGAAUGCUCCCAGGUAAUAGAGGUUAAAAAGGUAAACAAAAGACAUUUACUCUGGUUUUGAUCAGAAGGGAAAGAAGAAGGGAAAUCUGAAGUAGCAACUUGGAGAGAAAUAUAACAGUCAAGUUAGCUUGAAGUUCUGGAGCUAAGGUGGUAGGACAUAACAGACUCAGCUGAGGUCUGACUCAGAGAUAAGAAAGAGCUCUGAGUUAGACUUAUUCUAAGGAAGACUAUUGAUAAGAGCAGGAUUACAGUAAACUGUGACAGAUAUGUGACGAGUGAAUGUUAAUGAGAAGACAUCAGAUUGGAUCUUAGGUUUUUUUUUACACAACACAGUAUAUGAC